CAUUCUCAGGGCGGGGCGCAAUUCCCCACCGGCGGUAUGUGGCCCCAGUGUCACGAGCCCGCGAGCGCAACGCGCCCCUAACGGGACGCUUGGUCAGCAGAUCUGGUGAGAUGCCAGAGCCGACGGUCAUAGUCCGGAUGAAAGAGAAU
rnacentral:ncRNA from 1 species